AACGCAUAUUGCGCCCAUUGGUAUUCCGAUGGGCAUGCCUGUUCGAGCGUCAUUUCAACUCUCAAGUGAUUUUUGCUUGGUGUUGGAGCUUCUAUAACACUUUUGUUAUAGGCUCUAAAAAGUCUUGGCAGGAUUUUUAUAAACCCAAACGUAGUUAAUUACUUUUCGUUUAGGGAUAUAUAAGAGUCUUUUAGCCGUUAAAUCUUUUUAUAUUUUAUAAAAUUGACCUCGGAUCAGGUAGGAAUACCCGCUGAACUUAA
rnacentral:misc_RNA from 1 species